GGCCCAGUGAAUCAUGGGAGAUGGGGUGGGCAGGGCAGGAGAGGGUGGGGAGGAUGUAGCUCUGGGGUACUGAGGCUCCUUCAGGGGAGACAGGAGACCCAGCGGGGAGACAGAGCGCUGGCGGGAGAGUAAGACCUGGUUGGAGUCCUAGCUUUGCUUAACCGCUUGGUAGAUUUUGGCCACGUGGCCUCCACAGUUAGGCCUGUGAACUGAGAAAGUCUGAUGACGUGGCCUCUGGACCUGCUGUCCUCUUGUUGAGGGCUGGGAGCCCUGGGGCCUCAAGAGACAUCGGUGGCCAGAGGAACUCCAGCCCACCUGGGGAUAAACUUUUGCUCCAGUACUAGCCCUGAGGAAGCAGAAUUGGAAAGAACACCUGAUUCUUCAGAAGCCCUGCAGAGCCUUCUAGUGGGAUUUGGGAUUAUCUGCUCCAGGGAUCACUCAGCGGAUUCCAUACCACUGAGCCACCAGGGAAGUCCCAUCUGUGCAUCUCUGAUUUAUCUCUUCAACAAGGCCAGGAGGGGACACAGAUUGGAUCCCUGGUCCGGGAAGAUCCCACAUACCAUGGGCAACUGACCCCCUGCACCACAACUACUGAGCCUCCUCUCUGGAACUCAAGAGCUGCAACUACUGAGCCACGGGAAGCAACUAUGAGAGCCUGUGUGCUUCGCGACAAAAGAAGCCACUGUAAGGAGAAGCCCAUACACCACAACUAGAG
ensembl:lncRNA